ensembl:lincRNA A330043C09Rik RIKEN cDNA A330043C09 gene
GCAAGACAGAUGGGACUUUCAAAAUGAAAUGUACCUAUGACUGUUUGCUACUAUAUAUAUAAAAUGUCUCAUUUAGUCUCAUCUGUGAUUUUCCAAGAGGAAAAUGUUUCCAGGAGCCAUUUAUCUCAGUCCUGCAGGGUGAGCUCUACAGGCAUCAGAGGAAACCGCUGUACCAUUAAACUCGGGGCUGACGAAAACAGCCACCCCUCCAGCAGAAAUGGGGACCCCCAUCUUCAUUUCAUAAAUCUUCCCCAAAUAUGCCAAAGCCAGGAACUGACUGUCUGUCACAUCAAUGGCCCAAAGCCUGGGUGCGUCAGCGCAGUGUGUUCAAAGGGGAUCGAGAGUAUCUAUCUGGCAACAACUUUGGGAGCAGGGAGGCAAUUAUAACUGACAUCCAGAUGUCUGGCGGGGUGGAUGCUACUACCCUGUAAGAGUGCCCAUGGCCUGGAGACAUUUACAACUGAGCAGUGAGUCCAAGACGUGACAGACAGAUCGAUGAUGGUAUCAUCAGCGUGAACCAAAAAAGUUGCCUGGACUGAUAAAGACUUCAGAUGUCAGGAUUUGCAACAAAGUUCCUUCUCUCCACCUCCUCCAUCAGCCGCCCCGCCCCGCCUCCUCACCAGCAAGCUUGUUAGUGGUUGAGGGCCCAGCAGGAAAUGUUUUGACACCCAGUGCCAAACAUCAAUCCAUCUCUGGAACCUUAAUACGCUUAAGUGUUUAGAUUAUGGAGGCAAGCGGGGUUCCAACAGAAACCCCCUUGCUGUGGAAUAUGGAGAUGCUAUCACUUGACUCUCUACUACCUGCACUGUUCUUCUUUCUUAAUCAAAGAGUAUCCUAAAAGAAGAUAUUAAGAUUCAAAUGUAAAGGAAAUUUAAUUAUGAUGAAAGCAACACUCAAUAUGAAGCUGUAUUUCUUUAUUUAUGAACAUUAGGAAAUGGAAAGUGUUCUUGCUAAAACAUGUGUAUAUAUGUGACUGUAUGAAAAUAUAAGUAAGUAAAUGUAUGUGAAU